rnacentral:rRNA from 1 species
CCCUUAGAUGUUCUGGGCCGCACGCGCGCUACACUGACGAAUGCAACGAGCUUAUAACCUUGGCCGAAAGGUCUGGGUAAUCUCCAAAUUUCGUCGUGAUGGGGAUAGAUUAGUGCAAUUAUUAAUCUUCAACGAGGAAUGCCUAGUAAGCGCAAGUCAUCAGCUUGCGUUGAUUACGUCCCUGCCCUUUGUACACACCGCCCGUCGCUCCUACCGAUUGAAUGGUCCGGUGAAGCGUUCGGACCGUGGCCUUUGGACGGUUCGCCGUCUGUUGGCUGCGGGAAGUUCGUUAAACCUUAUCAUUUAGAGGAAGGAGAAGUCGUAACA